GAGCAACUUGGUUAAGCUACUAAGAGCACACGGAGGAUGCCUAGGCGCUAGGAGCCGAAGAAGGACGUGGCGAACAACGAAACUGCCUCGGGGAGCUGUAAGCAAGCUUUGAUCCGGGGGUGUCCGA
rnacentral:rRNA from 1 species